UUGCCUCCUUUCCACGGUUGUAAUUUCGGGAUUUUCCGUUUAUUUUGCUGCCCGUUUGUUGUCUAUGAAUUCAGUGGAUGGAGCUCAGAGCUCUGUCCUUGGUGAUGGUGGCGGUUAAUAAUUUUUUCGGGCUUGUUUCAUCUCUUCCCAUUGGUUUGAGCAUCAUAGUGGUGUAACUCCAAGCUCACACUCAGAUAGACAUGGCAGAGACCACGGAUGUGUCACCUGAUGAUGCCAAUGGAAGUACCGCAGUUCAGAUUGAGCCUUCUUCCAAUGAAGACGUUCUGUUCCUUGAUGAUAUGGAUUCUUUCUGGGACGAAGUAAAUACUGGGCUUCAUGUUUCAAGAGUUGUGACUAGUGCUGUCAUCAAGGGAAUUCUGAGUGAUGUAGAACAAGAUGUGGCUCAGAAGAUCUGUGUCAAGGAUGCAGAGAUAUCAUUGCUGAACCAGAAGCUGCAGCAACUAGAAAAUAGCAGCUUAAGUUUACCUGAGGGGCGGGACAAAAGAUAUGAUGAAUUCUAUUAUCUUCGCGAACAGCUUGAUUCCAUUUCAAGGUCACUCUUGAAUUCUGAAUGGGGGCUUUCGGGAUCACAGCAUAACUCUGAAAGUUCAGAAGAUAUGGGUAAGCAGAGGGGCAAGGAACAAUCCUCCAGAGAUGGUAUAGCAAAGGAAAAUGGUUCUAAAGCCUCCCAAGAAGUUUUCAGUGACCCGGCAGUUCUGAAGCACAUGGAUAAGGAUGAAGUGAUAGCCCAUUUUAAUAAAGCAAUGAAUCAGAUGAAAAUACAGCAUGAUUCAACUGUGCAACAGCAGACCGAAGAGAUAUUCGAACUAAAGCGCAAACUCCUAAGGAAUGAAGGACCUAACCCUUGGCAUUUACGAAACAACAAAGAACUUGAGCAAAUGAGGAAGAAGAUUAGUGAAGUCGUCUCGAAGUUGGAUGUGCUCCUCUUGGAGAAUAAAAGAACUAUCGUUCGCAUCAAGUCAGAUGCAUUUCCUUGCCCACAAGACAAGAGCAAUGUAUUAGAUUCUGAUACCCGGCAGCUACAAGGUGGUGCAUCUGUAGAGUCAGAUCAUGCAAAGCAUAUUAUAAGCCUUGAAGCUGAUAUUGAAGAUGCCAACAUUGCAGCCUUCAUUAGAGAAGAGAUAGAAAAGAUUGUCGUAAAAGAGUUUGUUAGUGAAAGAAAAAUAGGAUUGCAUGGUUAUGAGCCGGAGCUUAAUAUGAAGCAGGAAGUUUGCUCAAUCAUUCAGAAAGAGGCUAUUGCGGAAGCAGUGUCAAACAUUAAUUCUUCGUUGUUAAAGAACAAUGAAGAAGAGGGCUGUGCUGAAGCUGAAUCUCUACUGAAACAGAACAUUGACAAACUGAAUCUAGUUGUGGAUUCCUUCAUUGAAGUAGUGAGGCAAAAGGAGGAAUUUGUGUCACAGAUUGGAUUGGAGGCAAUGGAAGCUCGUGUGGAUUCACUGUGCCAUGAACUUGAUUUCCUAAGAGACAAAGUGGGAAAGCAAGAUUUGUACAUAUCUGAAAAGAGCAGGGAGUUUGAUAUCAUUAUGGGCAGGUUGGAGCAUGCUCAGCAACAUGUUCAACACAAUGAUGUCACUUUGAGUGAGUUGAAUGAUAGAUUUAGAACCAUUUCAGACUCUCUAAAGGAGUUGGAGAAACAAAAUCAAGUUCUACAUACUGUCAUUGAAGAAAAGGAGAAGACAUUAACAUCUGCCGUUUCCAAAGACAAUGAGUUCAAAGAAUGCAUGAAACAUGCUGUUGAAUCUAUGAGAGAUUUUGAAAAAUUCGUUACAGAUCAACAAACUAUAGUUGCUAAUAAAGUUAAGCACAGUGAAUCAAGGUUUUGUUUGUUAAAAGAACAAUGUAUGCACCUUGCGAAAGAAGGCAAUCUUUUGAGAAAGAAGGCAUUGCGAUACAAAGAGAUAUCCGAGACAAGAGGCUCUAAUCUUCAGAAAGCUGAACUCGAGGGAAGAAGUGAUGGAAUGAGGUGGAUUUACUUGGUGAUGAGGUUGAGGCCUUAACAGAUUUUCUUGCGAAAAUCUAUAUUGCACUUGACCAUUAUUCUCCAGUCCUGCAACACUAUACUGGCGUUAUGGAGACGUUGAACAUGAUUAAGAAACGUAUUAGCAUGGCAAAGUAAAAUGCUUCUGCCCGUUGAUAUCAGCUGGUCAAUGUUAACCAUAACCUUGGUAUUCUCCGCUUGACAGCGUGCUUCUAGCGCUUUAAGAUAACUUCUGUAGGUGUAUGUUAGCUUCUUUUAUCAAUUUCUAGCGCUUUAAGAUAACUUUUGUAGGUGUAUGUUAGCUUCUUUUGUCAAUUCAAGGACUAGGUUUUGCAGAGUGGCUUGCUCCCUUUUAUAGGCAGUAGUCUUGGUAGCGUUUGACCACUUUGUAAAUGACCCAACUGUAGUUUUUAGUUCUUGUAUUUGGCUUUUGAUGCCAUGCGUUGUCAUCUGUUGUAACAGUGACCUACUUGGAUGACCAAUUGUGGUAGUGGAGUGGAUGUUUGAAGAGUUUUCAGGUGUUCUUUUCUUCUUGAACGGUGGCUGAAAAUGUAUGGGGUUCGCGUAGUACACCGACCGCCUAUGAUGAUAAACUGAUAGGCCAUUUAUGUGUUCCAAGACGUGGUUUUAUUUUGA